GACGAACGCUGGCGGCGUGCUUAACACAUGCAAGUCGAACGAUGAAGAAGAGAAACGCGAACUUCGGUUCAAAUUUCACUUCGGAUUAGUGGCAGACGGGUGAGUAACGCGUGAGCAACCUACCUCUUACAAAGGGAUAGCCUCGGGAAACCGUGAUUAAUACCAUAUGACACAUUCAUAAGGCAUCUUAAGAAUGUUAAAGCUACGGCGGUAAGAGAUGGGCUCGCGUCCCAUUAGCUAGUUGGUGAGGUAACGGCCCACCAAGGCGACGAUGGGUAACCGGCCUGAGAGGGUGAACGGUCACAUUGGAACUGAGACACGGUCCAAACUCCUACGGGAAGCAGCAGUGGGGAAUAUUGCACAAUGGAGGGAACUCUGAUGCAGUGACGCCGCGUGAGCGAUGAAGGAAUUCGUUUCGUAAAGCUCUGUUCUAUGGGAAGAAAAGGACUGUACCAUAGGAGAAAGCCCCGGCUAAAUACGUG
rnacentral:rRNA from 1 species